rnacentral:rRNA from 1 species
GCGUAAUACAUGCAAGUCGAGGGGAAACGGCAUUGGGUGCUUGCACUGAAUGGACGUCGACCGGCGCACGGGUGAGUAACGCGUAUCCAACCUUCCCGUUACUGCGGGAUAACCUGCCGAAAGGCAGACUAAUACCGCAUGUUCUUCGAUGACGGCAUCAGAUUCGAAGCAAAGAUUCAUCGGUAACGGAGGGGGAUGCGUCUGAUUAGCUUGUUGGCGGGGCAACGGCCCACCAAGGCGACGAUCAGUAGGGGUUCUGAGAGGAAGGUCCCCCACAUUGGAACUGAGACACGGUCCAAACUCCUACGGGAGGCAGCAGUGAGGAAUAUUGGUCAAUGGGCGGAAGCCUGAACCAGCCAAGUAGCGUGCAGGACGACGGCCCUACGGGUUGUAAACUGCUUUUAUGCGGGGAUAAAGUGAGGGACGUGUCCCUUUUUGCAGGUACCGCAUGAAUAAGGACCGGCUAAUUCCGUGCCAGCAGCCGCGGUAAUACGGAAGGUCCGGGCGUUAUCCGGAUUUAUUGGGUUUAAAGGGAGCGUAGGCCGGGGAUUAAGUGUGUUGUGAAAUGUAGGCGCCCAACGUCUGACUUGCAGCGCAUACUGGUUCCCUUGAGUACGCGCAACGCCGGCGGAAUUCGUCGUGUAGCGGUGAAAUGCUUAGAUAUGACGAAGAACCCCGAUUGCGAAGGCAGCCGGCGGGAGCGCAACUGACGCUGAAGCUCGAAGGUGCGGGUAUCAAACAGGAUU